CACCGCGGUUAUACGAGAGACCCAAGUUGUUAGACACCGGCGUAAAGAGUGGUUAAGAUAAAUCAGACACUAAAGCCGAACGCCCUCAGAGCUGUUAUACGCACCCGAAGGUAAGAAGUUCAAUCACGAAAGUGGCUUUACACCAUCUGAACCCACGAAAGCUAUGACA
rnacentral:rRNA from 2 species